AGCAGCCGCGGUAAUUCCAGCUCCAAUAGCGUAUAUUAAAGUUGUUGCAGUUAAAAAGCUCGUAGUUGAAUUUCGGGAUCAAUAUGUUGGUCGUGCCUUGGUACGUACUGGCAUUAUCGAUUCCUACCUUCUGAAGAACCUCGAUGUCAUUAAUUUGGUGUCUUGGGGAAUCAGGACUGUUACUUUGAAAAAAUUAGAGUGUUUAAAGCAGGCUCGCGCUUGAAUACAUUAGCAUGGAAUAAUGAAAUAGGACGUUUGAUUCUAUUUUGUUGGUUUCUAGGAUCGACGUAAUGAUUAAUAGGGAUAGUUGGGGGCAUUAGUAUUCAAUUGUCAGAGGUGAAAUUCUUGGAUUUAUUGAAGACUAACUACUGCGAAAGCAUUUGCCAAGGAUGUUUUCAUUAAUCAAGAACGAAAGUUAGGGGAUCGAAGACGAUCGGAUACCGUCGUAGUCUUAACCAUAAACUAUGCCGACUAGGGAUCGGAUGAUGUUAAUUUUUUAAUGUACUCA
rnacentral:rRNA from 1 species